rnacentral:rRNA from 1 species
UACGGAGGGUGCGAGCGUUAUUCGGAAUAACUGGGCGUAAAGGGCACGCAGGCGGACUUUUAAGUGAGAUGUGAAAUCCCCGGGCUUAACCUGGGAAUAGCAUUUCAGACUGGGAGUCUAGAGUACUUAAGGGGGGGGUGGAAUUCCACGUGUAGCGGUGAAAUGCGUAGAUAUGUGGAGGAACACCGAUGGCGAAGGCAGCCCCCUGGGAAUGUACUGACGCUCAUGUGCGAAAGCGUGGGGAGCAAACAGG